rnacentral:misc_RNA from 1 species
AAAAAAUCCAAGAAAAUGAUUCCAAUUUUCUUGUUUUUACACUAAGAUACUCUAUGCAUCUUCUCAUGAAAAUUCAAGAAAAAAGGUACCAUUUUUUUUUUCAUAGUUUCUUGAAAAUCUUGAAGUAUUGUAGAAUCCAAGAAAAAGGGUCAUAAGAUUCUUGAAAAUUUUAAGGUAUUAUUGUUACCUUAAAAGGUGUUGUUGUGUUUAUGUUUCUUCCUUGUUGUUUUGAUUUGAUGGCUUUUUUUAAUAGAAAGAUGUUAGAAGAACAUAUAUUUGAUGUACCAAAAAGUGUUAAAUGUUUGAGUUGUACAUCAUACGUUUGUACAAAUGAUUGUGGUGAUACAUAUGUUCCAAGUGAUGGUCCAUUUUUUCCUCCACCUCCUCCUCCUUAUGUGACAAGUGAAAAAUACCAUAUGCCCUUUUAUUUCAUCAUAAUGCUUUGUGUAUUUGGGGCUUUUUUUAUGUUCAUAUGUUAUAUGAUUAUACUUAGGAGGAGUAGGUCAAAUUCAAGACCAAAUAAUGUUUCACAAUUUGAUGAGACUAGAGAGGAUUUUGUUAUAGAUGAGAAUUUGGGCCCAAUGUUGGAUCAUCCGAUUUGGUAUAUUCGCACUGUGGGACUCGGACAAGAUGUUAUUGAUUCGAUUACGGUGUUUAAGUAUAGAAAAGAUGAGUUUUUGAUUGAUGGGAGUGAUUGUUCUGUUUGUUUGACUGAAUUUGAGGAGGAUGAGAGUUUAAGGUUGUUGCCUAAAUGUAGUCAUGCUUUUCAUAUUCCUUGUAUUGAUACUUGGUUAAGGUCACACAAGAAUU